GCAAAGUACCUUGGGGAAUGUAGUAGUCCUUCUUUUCUGAGAACCAGGUACAUACACUACAUGAUGUUAUGAUGUGGAAUACCAAUAACCGAAAAUCAUGAAACCAUGACACUCUUGCAAGUAGGGUUAGUUUCCUUUAGAUUUCUUUUUUAGUCUAUUGCUACUAUGUUGCUGCUUCCUUUCCAAAAUCAGUUAGAUGUCAGAUUCUGGAGUGUUCGGAUCUCAGACAAAAAGGACCUGAUGGAAAUGAUACAGCUUCUGUAGAGAUUAAUUUUGCUGUUCUGUGGUGGCUCUGAUACCAUUGUGUUGACAAGUGACAAGAGUUCACUGGCUGAGGAAAAAUGGCUCUAAUAAACAGUGGCAACCGUUGGUCUGGCAAUAAAUCCUCCUCAGCUUGGGGCCUUGCGCAUUGUAGUCUCCUCAACAAACCCUGGGUGCUGCACGGAGACCCAUCCUUGUUUUUCACCAGCAAGGUUCACGGCUGAGUCUUUGAUAAAGCUGAAGACAGUACAAUCAGCAAAUGAAGAGAUGCCAUUUUAAAAUGACAACAGCUAUAAGAAGCAGUUCUAACUAACUUCUUCAAGAGCAUACAAGACCUUUCUUUUGCUUCAGAGAAAAGGCUUUUGUCGGGCAGAUGGUGGUUCCUGCACUGAUCUGCAACAGCUAUUGCUGAGGUUGAAGCCCUGCGUCUGUCUCAUAUACUUCCAGAACACCUGGCAGGUGAAAAGUUAGCUACUUCACGUCAGAGUACAUCAAAAAGCACUCCUUCUGGUCAUUUGACUUGACCCAUAAAUCUACUGCUAGCAAUAACACAGGAAGAUAACUGCCAUUGAUGUAAUCACUGUAAAGACAGACUGAGGGCAGAAGAAAUUAAACCAGUUGGGUGAAUUAGCUCAGCAUGUGAAGGUUCGCAGGAGAGUCUUUAUCUACUCUUUCCACAGACUGAAUGCGCGUAAUUGCAGGUCUUGCUAUUCUCUCUAGCAGUGAGAAGCCACUGCUGCAAAGAAGCCACGUUGGAGCAUGGGGAGAUAAUCUGCUUUUGGCUUACUAUUUUUUUCUGGCAUAAACAUCUACUAGCAUAUUUGAAGAGAAUUUCUGUAUGAAUAGUCACCAGUCUUGAAGAGAAAAGAAGAGAAGGCUGACUCAACAGAGAAAUCCAAACACCCCUCUGUGAAGUGUUUCUGGAGUUUAUCCCCUGCUGAAAGCCUCCUCUAAGUUCUUUGCUGUUGCCCAGCCAACACCUGAGGGAUCACAAACGAACCUGGGAGCAAUACUCAAAAUCCAGAGGAAGAGGUUGCAAUCUACAGGAAGCUGACAAAAUUCAGAAAAUCAGACACUUAAGCCGUGACCUUCACAGAGAAGGGACUGUGUCAUCUUGUUUAUGCAAUAGCGAAAAGUGGGCCCUGAUCCUGCAUGGAGCCGUUGGAUUUUAUCAGAAGAUCCGUAAAGCAAGUGAAUACUUCAGAGUGUGCUUUUAUGGAACAUCCUUCUAUGGAAAAUACUUUGCAUUAGAAGACAAAAAAAAAAGGUAUACGGCAGCACAAAGGUUAAAAAUUACUCGUUAGAUUGAGGUUAAGAAAAUCAGAAAUAAAAUUAUUUAGCUAGGAGCUUAUUUAAA